AAACGGUUAAAUAUAUCACGCCCUCAGUUUUACCUUUCUCUCUCAUGAAGAUUAUGGGCUACCCUAUUUCUUCUCUCUUUCACCCUUAUUCAAAACCUUCUCUUUUCUCAAUCCUCUUAUAAGUUUGUUAGAUCUCUUCGUUGUUUAAUUACUCUGAUUCGAAAUUCAAUGAGGUAGUACGAGGUGAAUCUAGAGAAAAUUAGAUCUCUUAAGUUGGGAGGAAGAGGUAAAACCCUAGGUUUCGGGCCAACGAAGUGAGCGAUUUCUCUGGUUUUGACGUUUCCAAUGGGUCUUUAUUUCUCAGAUUUUGAAGGCUAUGAAGUACACUGAGCACUACGUCGGAGAUCCAUCAAGUCUAGUCAUCGUCCUUGCGUACCUUGCUGUUGAGGCGCUAUUUUUACCAAGUAAAUUAUGUUGUGGAAGAACUCCAAAAGUGCCAAUGAUGAUGCUGAUGAUGCAAAGACAUUAAAGAAAUUCUCAAAGCUUACUCCUGAAGGGGCAGCCUAAAACAUGUUGAUUCUCAAAAGGAUGAUGCAAGUGAUCCAAAGAAAGGAAAAGAUAAGAACAACAAGAAGAAAAAGAAGAAAGGGCCAACCAGAGACUCUAAGCAUGAGAGUGAAUACAAGAAGGGUUUGAGACCUGUUCUCUGGUUGACCCUAUCUUUGACAACAGAGGAGCUUUUGCCAUUGCUAGAUGUAUUAGCUAAUAAGGUUAAGGCUGUUAGGGGACUUCGAGAACUUUUAACCACUAAGCUACCAUUCGUGACAUUCCUGUCAAGGAAGCUUGUACUCAAUCUGUAAUUUCUGCUCUCACUGCUAAUUAAGUUGCUGUUGUCGCUGCUGCCUCUGUUGCUAUUGUCGAGCGUUGCUGCCUUUGUUGCUGUUGUCGCUGCUGCUUUAAUUGGUGCAGUUAAUUAUACUACAUACCUUGUUCAAUUAAUAUCAAUCUAAUCAUUGAACAAUUGUCAGGAUGCAUAAUUAUAUUACACUAGUAAUUAUUUUGGAGUACAUGUUUUAUUGGUUGAAUUAUAAUAGGUUUUAACCCAUAGAUUAAUACUCAUUGUAUUUAUUAUUGUACAAAAGUUGGGUUAAUAAUUUAUGGUGCUUCACAUUAAAAAAAAAUGUAGCGUGGGUAAUGGCAGUAGGGCCAUCUGCUACUAUUGCCAUUUUUUAAAAA